UUCCCGGCUAGACAAGAGGACUGGGAAACUCGAGCCCCCUUAUAGUCAGAAGCUGCCUAGUUAGAGACCAGUGGGAUGGGAGCCUCAUCUAGAGGCGAGAACAGGGUGAGGAGAAAGUUACAAGAAAGGCCUCGGAGGCGGGUGCGUGUGGUUGAGCGCCUGUACACGUGUAAAGAGCUCUUCACCCCAAGUUUAUCAAGGCUGUCCCCACGCCAGGAUUCUAAUCCGGUUUAGGGAGAAGAAGGAAAUAAAGGCCGGUGAGGACCAUAAAGCGGUGGUUAUUUCCUGGUUAGUGUAUGACGGGUAAUACGUGGUGCAUCCAUCUUCUGCCGUGUCGUAGCCCCAGCAGCCCGGGUUCAGCUCCCUUUCCUCGGGGGACACCAGUGCCAAGCCUGCCUGCCUGCGACCCCCACUCCCGCAGCUAAGGACUACUGACCUGCACGGGGAACACCUUGCUAAGAUAUAAUGCAUCUGCUCCUGUUUGUGUCACCAUCUGCCUUCUGUAACUUUGAAGAAUAUUGGGAACUUACAACAGCUGUUUUGAUAACACUAAAAAUGUAUGAAAGAAGGGAAACUUGAUCUAUUUGGCUUGUGAAGCCGGAGUGUCUGAAGUCAGCUACCACCGCCCUGGAUCCGGAAACAAAGCCCCAGCUCCUGCCUGCCCAUCAGUGUGUAUUGUCUGCUGCAAUCAGACUCCUAUUCAAGCUUUCAAGCCAAAAGGAAGACAUUUCCUAAUUAGAUCCUCAACUUGCCUAUAAAGUUGGAAUUCUCAAAUCUGAGCCCACUGUUUUCUAAUGUUUCUGACAUUGUCCCUUUUCCUUCCCCUUAUCACAGUUGAAGCAAAAAGAAUAGUAGGUGAGAGUCUCGGUCCUGGAUCCAGUCUGCCUGAGUUCAAUCCCAGCGCCACCAUUUAUUAGCUAUUUAACAUAGAGGGAGGCACUAAGCCUCCAGUUUUCUCCUUGAUAAAUAGAGGUGAUAGCAGCUAUACCAUAGAAUGGCUGUGAGAAUCAAAUCAGAGAAUCUGUGGAGGGGGCUUAACACAUAGUCCAAAUGCUAAACAAGUGUUAACUACUAUUAUGAUUAAGCUUUAUCAUUUAUAAAAGUGAUAGA